GGACCUCCUACAUGGAAGUGGUGUGAAGUUGGACUGUAUUAUCACCGAUCGUCAACCUCAGACCGAAAGGUUCCUGAGAGAACGUAAAAUCACCCACUACUACGAUGUAUGGCAUGUAGCAAAAGGGUUUUCAAAGAAGCUGGAACAACUUGGCAAAGACAAGGA